GAAAAAGACAUAAUCCUGUGUACAAAUUGCCUCCACGCAAAUAGAUAAGGUCGUGCCAAUUUCCUAAAUGCUUCAAACCUACCACAUAAUCAUAGCAACAAAGUUUGACCCAUGUCCCUCGGAAAUUCUGAUUGCCUUGCCAAAUUGUUUCUCACAAAAAUUUUUAUACACAGCUCCACUACCAAAAUUUUAACCUUACACAAUAAAAGUGUGCAAUUCCAAUGAUGAUAGAUAAAACAUAAGCAUAAACAAGCAAGAUGAAUAGGGCUGUCGACGAUGUGAUGAACAGGGUAUCCACAUAAAUGUUUACAAGCCCUGUAAGCACAUUUGCCAGAAGAAAUGUGCCCAGUAAAUUCCGGUCUAAUGCUUCUUCAAGCAUGGAAAUUUUACUUCCAGAAAUGAAAUCAGAAAGCAUUAGUAUGCCCAGAACCUGAAAGUUUUGAGCUAAGACCAGCGUAACAUAAGCCAUGUUGCACAUCCUACGGGAAACUCUUUCAACGUGACUAUUUAGAAUCGCAGUUAUCAGCCAAAAAACAAGAGAUAGAGAUGAGACUCUGAUCCUUGCCCACUUAUUGCUUUUCAUUUUAGUAGAGGAAUGGUUACCAAAAAAUAGGUAGUAGCCCAACUGGACACCAAUAAGGUACAUGCCCCAAUAUCCAAGUAUGCUAAAUAUCCCCUCUUUAUUUUUGCUUAUGAUAUUUGUUGCCCUUAUAUCAGAAAGCAGAUGCUCACUUAAUCCAUUAAUCAACCAAGACUGAUAACCAAUCAGAAUUGCCAAACCCAGAAAUCCUGAAUAUUGUGGAGGAACAUUAAUUAUGGAUGUAAGGAUUGACACAGCAGCUAGUGUGAAAAAGAAAUUCCAGUGUACUCCAUAUUCCCCUGUAUGAACCUGAUAGUCCACAGUUUUUGUAGAUAGAAGUCGACCAAACCCCAGUACCAGCAGUGGACUAGUGGAUCGAACAGUGGUCUUCAAGUUCCGUCAGUCAAUCUGUCUCUUCGCGUUGUCGAAACUUCAGUCCGAUGUCCCUGGAGCUUUAACUCGACGGCUUGGGUAUUUGGAUCAGCUUCCACAACCAACAAGCUCACCCAGCUUUAUUGUGAGCACCAAAGAGGCAUUUCGUGCUUGUCGUGAAACCAGUGAGUUUGCAAGUACAAAGGAGCCAACCCCAAGAUCCAUCAAACUAGUACCAUAAGUCUCAGUCUUGGCAUAUCUUCUUGGAUAUAUUCUAAAAUCAACGCCUAAGAUACAAAGGCAAGUCACAACCAUCACAACAACCCUGUAUGAGGAAAUGACUGUCCUGAGAGAAAAGGACCCUUCAGAACAAGAAGUAGAUGUUACAACCCUUUUAGUUGUAAUGGAGAAAAUGAGUACCACCCAAAAAAUUGACAAUAUAAAUGUCCAUUCUGCCAAAACAGUUAAAAAGAAAAGUAUGGGUAGGACAAUGAACAGAAAAUCCACAGUUACAGUAGCCACGCAAUUCCCCAAACUUUUGGAAGCAGAAAGUGCAUCCCCACCUUUCUUGGUUGAAGUCCUACCGAAAUCAGAACCAGUUUUGUAACCAAAGCAGAUGGAGUGUCGCAAAACAAAGAUAAGAGGGAUAGCAGUGGAAAGUACAGCGAUCUCAAGCAUGGAAGAUCCAGUCAAAUUGCUUACAAAUUCUUCUUUGAGGCGUUUGUUUGGAUUGAAAGACUUAGAAAGAGAAUCCAUCACUGGGGUAGUAAGCAGGGCUGACCUUGUUGGCGUAGAAAGGAACAGAGUCACCCUCCUUCUAGCGGUGGUCGGACAUGGGUUGCAGAAGAAGCAACUAAAACCGCGUGGAAGAGGAGAGUGGUUAAAGGAUUGUUCGUGGCUGUUAGUUUAGCUUCUCUCCUCUGGGUUCUUCUGGAAGUGAGAGGAGGGAGGAUCUAUUAAGAGAAGAGCAGCUACAAGGGCGUUAUUUACCAUUACCUGAAAAUUGCUCAAGUGAGGUCUGCUUUUGCUUUCAAGCUCUUCCUCUUUCCAUCACAGACAAAGUCGAGGAGAAGAUAAAUCAAAACAGCAAGUCGAUGGAACCGAAGAAAUGCGAGAAUGGAAGACGAAGUGGGCUGCGGCUAGGGCCACAUGCUAAAGAGUGAAAAAACAUA
rnacentral:misc_RNA from 1 species